rnacentral:rRNA from 1 species
UACGUAGGGUGCAAGCGUUAAUCGGAAUUACUGGGCGUAAAGCGUGCGCAGGCGGUGCUGUAAGACAGGCGUGAAAUCCCCGGGCUUAACCUGGGAAUGGCGCUUGUGACUGCAGUGCUGGAGUGCGGCAGAGGGGGAUGGAAUUCCGCGUGUAGCAGUGAAAUGCGUAGAUAUGCGGAGGAACACCAAUGGCGAAGGCAAUCCCCUGGGCCUGUACUGACGCUCAUGCACGAAAGCGUGGGGAGCAAACAGG